UGUGGUUUUAAGAAGAUGGAGGUGGCUCAUCCUGCGUUAAAGAACAGGACAGGGGAUUCCAAACCAAAACACGUGCCCAGUUCUGACCAGCGCCUCUGUGCUGCUCUGGAAGAGGAUGGGUGUGGGGAGAGUGAAACGAGAGAGAAAGCGGAUGUAUCACACCGAGUCAGGGAGGUGAAGACAGCUCCUUCAUCCAUGAGGAUAUUCUCCCACCUUGGUGCAAGACAGCAAAGUCCAGACAGGAUCUGAGCCCGGGCCAGCAGGAAUCUUUCACUGGCUGCUGCCUUUGUGCUUUGGAGCCCUGCAGAAGGUGAACGUGUGUCUGCAUCACGUGAGGGCUGGAGUGAUGGGCUGAUGCCUAAGAAGCUGAGCUACGUUUCAGAAAGGAGGGGUGAAGAGCACUUGAUGCCAGACGUUAUUUUCCGUGUGUGUUCUGACACCAGACUUCACUACUGCACCUCACGUUUCUCUGUGUGCGUGGGUUUGAACACCUUUUCC